rnacentral:rRNA from 1 species
UACGUAGGUGGCAAGCGAUACUCGGAAUCACUAGGCGUAAAGCGCAGGUAGGCGGUUUGAUAAGUCUGUUGUGAAAGCUCCCCGGCUUAACUGGGAGAGGUCAACGGAAACUGUCAGGCUAGAGUGUGGUAGAGGUAGCUGGAAUUCCCGGUGUAGCGGUGAAAUGCGUAGAUAUCGGGGAGGAAUACCUAUGGCGAAAGCAGGCUACUGGACCAUCACUGACGCUGAUCUGCGAAAGCUAGGGGAGCAAACAGG